GACGUAGGGCGCGAGCGUUGUCCGGAUUUAUUGGGCGUAAAGAGCUCGUAGGCGGUUUGUCGCGUCGUUCGUGAAAACUCACAGCUUAACUGUGAGCUUGCGGUCGAUACGGGCAGGCUAGAGUUCGGUAGGGGAGACUGGAAUUCCUGGUGUAGCGGUGAAAUUCGUAGAUAUCUGGAGGAACACCAGUGGCGAAGGCGGCAUCCUGGACCGGUAUUGACGCUGAGGCGCGAAAGCUAGGGUAGCAAACGGG
rnacentral:rRNA from 1 species